UUUUCAGACCAGAUGUGCUACC
rnacentral:miRNA from 1 species